AUGGGAGCUUGCUCCCUGAUGUUAGCGGCGGACGGGUGAGUAACACGUGGGUAACCUGCCUGUAAGACUGGGAUAACUCCGGGAAACCGGGGCUAAUACCGGAUGCUUGUUUGAACCGCAUGGUUCAAACAUAAAAGGUGGCUUCGGCUACCACUUACAGAUGGACCCGCGGCGCAUUAGCUAGUUGGUGAGGUAACGGCUCACCAAGGCAACGAUGCGUAGCCGACCUGAGAGGGUGAUCGGCCACACUGGGACUGAGACACGGCCCAGACUCCUACGGGAGGCAGCAGUAGGGAAUCUUCCGCAAUGGACGAAAGUCUGACGGAGCAACGCCGCGUGAGUGAUGAAGGUUUUCGGAUCGUAAAGCUCUGUUGUUAGGGAAGAACAAGUACCGUUCGAAUAGGGCGGUACCUUGACGGUACCUAACCAGAAAGCCACGGCUAACUACGUGCCAGCAGCCGCGGUAAUACGUAGGUGGCAAGCGUUGUCCGGAAUUAUUGGGCGUAAAGGGCUCGCAGGCGGUUUCUUAAGUCUGAUGUGAAAGCCCCCGGCUCAACCGGGGAGGGUCAUUGGAAACUGGGGAACUUGAGUGCAGAAGAGGAGAGUGGAAUUCCACGUGUAGCGGUGAAAUGCGUAGAGAUGUGGAGGAACACCAGUGGC
rnacentral:rRNA from 1 species